rnacentral:rRNA from 1 species
AAAGAAACUAACAAGGAUUUUCUUAGUAGCGGCGAGCGAAAAGAAAUCAGUUCAGCACUAAGUCACUUUGUCUAUAUGGCAAAUGUGAGAUGCAGUGUAUGGAACAUCAAUAUUCUAGUAUGAGAAAUUAACGAUUUAAGUCCUUCUUAAAUGAGGCCAUUUACCCAUAGAGGGUGCCAGGCCCGUAUAACGUUAAUGAUUACUAGAUGGUGCUUCCAAAGAGUCGUGUUGCUUGAUAGUGCAGCACUAAGUGGGUGGUAAACUCCAUCUAAAACUAAAUAUAACCAUGAGACCGAUAGUAAACAAGUACCGUGAGGGAAAGUUGAAAAGAACUCUGAAUAGAGAGUUAAAUAGUACGUGAAACUGCUUAGAGGUUAAGCCCGAUGAACCUGAAUAUCCGUUAUAGAAAAUUCAUCAUUAAAAUUAUAAUAUUUAAAUAAUAUUAUAAUAAUAGUGUGCAUUUUUUCUAUAUAAGGACAUUGUAAUCUAUUAGCAAAAUUAUUUAUCAAAAAAUUGUCAAUUAUUGUUUAUUUGAAUUAUUAUGCUUGCAUUUUAACAUAAAAUAAAAUUUUAACCAUAGAAUUUGAUAAAGUGCUGAUAGAUUAAUAUGAUUACAGUGCGUUAAUUUUUCGGAAUUAUAUAAUGGCAUAAUUUUCAAUGAUUUUUGUGUUUAUUAUAUGCACUUGUAUGAUUAACAAUGCGAAAGAUUCAGGAUACCUUCGGGACCCGUCUUGAAACACGGACCAAGGAGUCUAACAUAUGUGCAAGUUAUUGGGAUAUAAACCUAAUAGCGUAAUUAACUUGACUAUUAAUGGGAUUAGUUUUUUAACUUUGGUUAAUUAACACAAUCCCGGGGCG